UACGUAGGGGGCAAGCGUUGUCCGGAUUUACUGGGCGUAAAGCGCGUGUAGGCGGGAACUUAAGGCUGGUGGGAAAGCCCCCCGCUCAACGGGGGAAGGACGCCGGCGACUGGGUUCCUUGAGGGUGGCAGAGGGAAGUGGAAUUGCUGGUGUAGCGGUGAAAUGCGUAGAUAUCAGCAGGAACACCCGUGGCGAAGGCGGCUUCCUGGGCCGCACCUGACGCUGAGACGCGAAAGCGUGGGGAGCGAACGGG
rnacentral:rRNA from 1 species